AUUGAACGCUGGCGGCAGGCCUAACACAUGCCAGUCGAGCGGAGCGGCGGACGGGUGAGUAAUGCCUAGGAAUCUGCCUGGUAGUGGGGGAUAACGUCCGGAAACGGGCGCUAAUACCGCAUAAUAUCAGAUGAGCCUAGGUCGGUUUAGCUAGUUGGUGGGGUAAAGGCCUACCUAGGCGACGAUCCGUAACUGGUCUGAGAGGAUGAUCAGUCACCGUGGAACUGAGACACGGUCCAGACUCCUACGGGAGGCAGCAGGGGGGAAUAUUGCACAAUGAGCGCAAGCCUUAUGCAGCCAGGCCGCGUGUAUGAAGAAGGCCUUCGGGUUGUAAAGUACUUUAAGCGGGUAGGCGUUACCCGCAGAAGAAGCACCGGCGAAAAACGUGCCAGCAGCCGCGGUAAUAC
rnacentral:rRNA from 1 species